rnacentral:rRNA from 2 species
AGACCCGAAACCCGGUGAUCUAGCCAUGGGCAGGUUGAAGGUUGGGUAACACUAACUGGAGGACCGAACCGACUAAUGUUGAAAAAUUAGCGGAUGACCUGUGGCUGGGGGUGAAAGGCCAAUCAAACCGGGAGAUAGCUGGUUCUCCCCGAAAGCUAUUUAGGUAGCGCCUCGUGAAUUCAUCUCCGGGGGUAGAGCACUGUUUCGGCUAGGGGGCCAUCCCGGCUUACCAACCCGAUGCAAACUGCGAAUACCGGAGAAUGUUAUCACGGGAGACACACGGCGGGUGCUAACGUCCGUCGUGAAGAGGGAAACAACCCAGACCGCCAGCUAAGGUCCCAAAGUCAUGGUUAAGUGGGAAACGAUGUGGGAAGGCCCAGACAGCCAGGAUGUUGGCUUAGAAGCAGCCAUCAUUUAAAGAAAGCGUAAUAGCUCACUGGUCGAGUCGGCCUGCGCGGAAGAUGUAACGGGGCUAAACCAUGCACCGAAGCUGCGGCAGCGAACGUAUCACCCAAGACAACUUUACGGAGUUGACGAUUGACGGAGCGAAGCGACGUCAAAGCGUUCAUUAAAGUCGAGUUGGCUUAGGGAUACGUUCGUUGGGUAGGGGAGCGUUCUGUAAGCCUGUGAAGGUGUGUCGUGAGGCAUGCUGGAGGUAUCAGAAGUGCGAAUGCUGACAUAAGUAACGAUAAAGCGGGUGAAAAGCCCGCUCGCCGGAAGACCAAGGGUUCCUGUCCAACGUUAAUCGGGGCAGGGUGAGUCGACCCCUAAGGCGAGGCCGAAAGGCGUAGUCGAUGGGAAACGGGUUAAUAUUCCCGUACUUGGUGUUACUGCGAAGGGGGGACGGAGAAGGCUAUGUUGGCCGGGCGACGGUUGUCCCGGUUUAAGCGUGUAGGUGUGUGUUCCAGGUAAAUCCGGUUCACUUUAACACUGAGGCGUGAUGACGAGGCACUACGGUGCUGAAGCAACAAAUGCCCUGCUUCCAGGAAAAGCCUCUAAGCAUCAGGUAACAUCAAAUCGUACCCCAAACCGACACAGGUGGUCAGGUAGAGAAUACCAAGGCGCUUGAGAGAACUCGGGUGAAGGAACUAGGCAAAAUGGUGCCGUAACUUCGGGAGAAGGCACGCUGACACGUAGGUGAAGUGAUUUACUCACGGAGCUGAAGUCAGUCGAAGAUACCAGCUGGCUGCAACUGUUUAUUAAAAACACAGCACUGUGCAAACACGAAAGUGGACGUAUACGGUGUGACGCCUGCCCGGUGCCGGAAGGUUAAUUGAUGGGGUCAGCGCAAGCGAAGCUCCUGAUCGAAGCCCCGGUAAACGGCGGCCGUAACUAUAACGGUCCUAAGGUAGCGAAAUUCCUUGUCGGGUAAGUUCCGACCUGCACGAAUGGCGUAAUGAUGGCCAGGCUGUCUCCACCCGAGACUCAGUGAAAUUGAACUCGCUGUGAAGAUGCAGUGUACCCGCGGCAAGACGGAAAGACCCCGUGAACCUUUACUAUAGCUUGACACUGAACAUUGAGCCUUGAUGUGUAGGAUAGGUGGGAGGCUUUGAAGUGUGGACGCCAGUCUGCAUGGAGCCGACCUUGAAAUACCACCCUUUAAUGUUUGAUGUUCUAACGUGGACCCGUAAUCCGGGUUGCGGACAGUGUCUGGUGGGUAGUUUGACUGGGGCGGUCUCCUCCUAAAGAGUAACGGAGGAGCACGAAGGUUGGCUAAUCCUGGUCGGACAUCAGGAGGUUAGUGCAAUGGCAUAAGCCAGCUUGACUGCGAGCGUGACGGCGCGAGCAGGUGCGAAAGCAGGUCAUAGUGAUCCGGUGGUUCUGAAUGGAAGGGCCAUCGCUCAACGGAUAAAAGGUACUCCGGGGAUAACAGGCUGAUACCGCCCAAGAGUUCAUAUCGACGGCGGUGUUUGGCACCUCGAUGUCGGCUCAUCACAUCCUGGGGCUGAAGUAGGUCCCAAGGGUAUGGCUGUUCGCCAUUUAAAGUGGUACGCGAGCUGGGUUUAGAACGUCGUGAGACAGUUCGGUCCCUAUCUGCCGUGGGCGCUGGAGAACUGAGGGGGGCUGCUCCUAGUACGAGAGGACCGGAGUGGACGCAUCACUGGUGUUCGGGUUGUCAUGCCAAUGGCACUGCCCGGUAGCUAAAUGCGGAAGAGAUAAGUGCUGAAAGCAUCUAAGCACGAAACUUGCCCCGAGAUGAGUUCUCCCUGAGACUUAGAGUCUCCUGAAGGAACGUUGAAGACGACGACGUUGAUAGGCCGGGUGUGUAAGCGCAGCGAUGCGUUGAGCUAACCGGUACUAAUGAACCGUGAGGCUUAACCUUACAACGCCGAAG